rnacentral:rRNA from 1 species
GGACACGUGGUAUCCUGUCUGAAUAUGGGGGGACCAUCCUCCAAGGCUAAAUACUCCUGACUGACCGAUAGUGAACCAGUACCGUGAGGGAAAGGCGAAAAGAACCCCGGCGAGGGGAGUGAAAAAGAACCUGAAACCGUGUACGUACAAGCAGUGGGAGCACAGGUUUACCUGUGUGACUGCGUACCUUUUGUAUAAUGGGUCAGCGACUUAUAUUCUGUAGCAAGGUUAACCGAAUAGGGGAGCCGGAGGGAAACCGAGUCUUAAUUGGGCGUUAAGUUGCAGGGUAUAGACCCGAAACCCGGUGAUCUAGCCAUGGGCAGGUUGAAGGUUGGGUAACACUAACUGGAGGACCGAACCGACUAAUGUUGAAAAAUUAGCGGAUGACCUGUGGCUGGGGGUGAAAGGCCAAUCAAACCGGGAGAUAGCUGGUUCUCCCCGAAAGCUAUUUAGGUAGCGCCUCGUGAAUUCAUCUCCGGGGGUAGAGCACUGUUUCGGCUAGGGGGCCAUCCCGGCUUACCAACCCGAUGCAAACUGCGAAUACCGGAGAAUGUUAUCACGGGAGACACACGGCGGGUGCUAACGUCCGUCGUGAAGAGGGAAACAACCCAGACCGCCAGCUAAGGUCCCAAAGUCAUGGUUAAGUGGGAAACGAUGUGGGAAGGCCCAGACAGCCAGGAUGUUGGCUUAGAAGCAGCCAUCAUUUAAAGAAAGCGUAAUAGCUCACUGGUCGAGUCGGCCUGCGCGGAAGAUGUAACGGGGCUAAACCAUGCACCGAAGCUGCGGCAGCGACGCUUAUGCGU